ACCUCGCCCAGCGAUUUAAGUAUCGCCUUGUCGCCGCCUCUGUUAGUCCUGCUACCUCGAGAAGAAUUACCCUAAUCGCCAUUGGCGCUCGACGCUGGGGAGAGAGGAAGAAGCGUGCUCCGGUCGCCACCAUGAUCGCGCAGAGAGAGUGCGCCGGGAGUCACCACUUCGGAGCCGAGCGAGGUGGAGAGGAUAGCCCGUGGCUGGGGUGCCCGUGGUGUGUGCCAUCAGGCAGACAUUGCCGGGCGAGGUCACCACCCAGUGCUUCCUGGCGCACGCACCAGUGCCGGUGAUUGACGCCGCGCCGCAGGAACAAACCCGUCAACAUCCCCCUUGUUGGUAAGCUCAUGACCUCGGUUUGUUUUGACCCUCGCAGAGCGGAUCUAGAGAGGCUUAGUGGGUAGAAACCAUUACACCUUUGGGCUAUGUGCUGCAAAUGGCGCCGCCCUGGUGUAGACCGAUUGGAGUGGAGGAGAGAGGGUGUCGUGGGAUUGAAGACGAUCCAGGGACCGUUGGAUUCGGAAAGGGCGAGUGAGAUUAGAUCCAAACAAAAUACUCGCGGUUUGAUCCCCUGCCGUUGAGCUUGUAACUGAUGGCCGGAAUCGGUCCUAAAUACCGCUUCGGCUGGGGUAGGUUGGCCGUCGAUUUUGUAGGUAACGGCUCAGAUUAGAAGACAAUACCCCCUCGCGCGAUCUAGAUCAGGACCGUUGAAUUUUGAUCUGAUGGGUUGGAUCAGAUCAUGCCUAAAUAAAACCCACGCCGUUGGAUCUUUAUCCAACGGUGACUACUGCGUACCCGUUCAGUGGAGUCCUGGUCUAAUCUGAGCCAUCCAUUUAAGAUCAAACGACCCAUGUUAGAUCAUAACCCUUCGGCCGGGUGAUCUUGCAAUUGAACCCCUGUGGUCUCCAUGAAUUAACCCGUUGUCCACGCAGGGGGGCGCUCUGUGUCUUAGGGAAUUUUGCUCCAGAGACCCUGCAGUUUCCUGUAUUUGAGGCACAGUCCAGUUAAUAAGAAAAACAGAGAAAUUGAAUUAGAAAUUGAAUUUUUAAUAUAAAAACAAUUCCAGAAUUUUGUUAAAUCCAUAGAAAAUUCAUAUUAAGUCCAAAUGAGAUCAUUCCAAUUUCUAUAAUUCUAUAAUAUUAUUGUUCAUCACAUAGUACCUCUGUUUUGACAUGAAUAUCACAUUAAAAUUAAUAUCCUAAGUAAUCUUUUAUCCAACACUUAAAACUUAAUAAAUUCAUAACUUCUUCAUUUUAAUUCCGUUUUGAUCCAUUCAAGUUGUGUUAGUCUCGUAGCAACGUGUAGAUUAUUAUUACACAGUUUUAUUCUUAUGUUUGGUGUAAUGUUAAUUUUAUCUAUACCAUGUCUGUUUGUAUUGCUACGACUAGCGCGAGGACACGUGUCAUAUGAACGCAAGUUGGUACCUGGAAUCUCAAGUGUCAGGCAAGUUGUGCCCUUGAUUCACUUUUGUUACCCAAUAAUGUUCUUUAUAAUCAUUUACCAUGCAUAGGUUUAAUUUUGAUGGGACCCGAUAGGUCACCCUAGAUUGUUUAUCUCAUUACCUUGUUUACCCCUGAAUCACUUGGGUAGUUUGCUAUUGCUUUAUAUGGUUUUGGGAUAAUCAUUUAUUAUAUCCAUGUUCCAAUUAUUAUGUUAUUUUAUUUAUGUUCAUGUCAAGAUCAUUAUAUUAUUGUUAAUUGGAACAUGGAGCUUAACUUGAGAAACACGUGCCACCACAAGGGAGGAAUGGGACCCCUUGGCUGACUAAUUAGGAAAGCUAGUGGAAGACUACCUUACCCGAAAGGGGCAAGGGCAGUAGGGGAGUUGCAUGCAAGGAGGUUCUCGGGUUGAUUUGCUGCGAUGGCGGUCAGACGGGGGAUUCUUGCAAGUGCUCUUCCCAUAAACUGUAGCGGGUUUUCGGAAGCUAGUGGAACUUUGUAAAGGCCUCGUAGUGGAUCCCUAGCCAUUCACCUUGGUAGUGUCUAAGGGCCUAGCUAACCCUGGUGACAUGGGAAACACGACUUGUGGGUAAAGGGUACAACCUCUGCAGAGUGUAAAACUGGUAUACUAGCCGAGCUCACGGUCAUGAGCGGCUCAGGACUCUCCGAUGAUUAAAUUAUGGAACCUAAACUCAAUUUGUCAUUUGCAUUUGCAUGGGAUUAUUAUUAAUUUUGUUCUAUUACUUUAUUUAAGGUUUGGUAUUUACUUACAUGUAGUAACUGCUAAUAAAAUUUUGACCAACUACUUAAAAGCAAUGCUCAGCUUUAACCCCUAUUGUUGACAAGACUUACACUUCAUGAACUCCCCACCUUUGGUGAGUUCAUGUCACAUUAUUCCCCACAACUUGUUGAGCGAUGAACAUGUGUGAGCUCACCCUUGCUGUCUCACACCCCCCACAGGUCAAGAGCAGGUACCACUGGAGGAGGCACAUGGUGGAUGUUGCGCUGUGUUCGUGAGAUGUCCAGGGCGUCGUCUCCCAGUUGACUUAUGCGCCAAGGACGAUCCUUAGUUCGUGUUAUAUUUAUCUUUUAUUUUGUAAGUCUUCCGC
rnacentral:lncRNA from 1 species